UACGAAGGGGGCUAGCGUUGCUCGGAAUUACUGGGCGUAAAGGGCGCGUAGGCGGGUCGUUUAGUUAGAGGUGAAAGCCCAGGGCUCAACCCUGGAAUUGCCUUUAAUACUGGCGGCCUUGAGUAUGGCAGAGGUGUGUGGAACUCCGAGUGUAGAGGUGAAAUGCGUAGAUACCCGGAGGAACACCAGUGGCGAAGGCGGCUUCCUGGUCUGCGACUGACGCUGUGGCGCGAAAGCUAGGGGAGCAAACGGG
rnacentral:rRNA from 1 species